UCCCGUAAACGGCGUAAAGAGUGGUACCAUGAUAUCACAACAAUUAAGACCAAAGCGCAACUAAGCUGUCAUAAGCCUAAGAUGUGUCUAAGACUCCCCUCAAAAUGAUCUUAGCACUUUUGAUUAAUUUAAACCCACGAAAGCUAAGGCACAAACUGGGAUUAGAUACCCCACUAUGCUUAGCCCUAAAUCCUGAUGUCUUCUCACUACUAAAGCAUCCGCCUGAGAACUACGAGCACAAACGCUUAAAACUCUAAGGACUUGGCGGUGCCCCAAACCCACCUAGAGGAGCCUGUUCUAUAAUCGAUAACCCACGUUACACCCGACCGCCCCUUGCUAAAGGCAGCCUACAUACCGCCGUCGCCAGCUCACCUCCCCUGAGAGUUCAAUAGUGAGCACAACAGCCCCAACCCGCUAAUAAGACAGGUCGAGGUAUAGCCUACGGGGUGGAAGAAAUGGGCU
rnacentral:rRNA from 1 species